rnacentral:tRNA from 1 species
GACCGCGUAGCUCAUGCAGUUGGCAGAGCAUUGGGCUAGUAUUCCAAAGGUCGUAGGUUCGAUUCCCACCGUGGCCA